UACGUAGGGGGCAAGCGUUGUCCGGAUUUAUUGGGCGUAAAGAGCGUGUAGGCGGCCAUACAGGUCAGCUGUGAAAACUCGAGGCUCAACCUCGAGACGUCGGUUGAAACCGUAUGGCUAGAGUCCGGAAGAGGAGAGUGGAAUUCCCGGUGUAGCGGUGAAAUGCGCAGAUAUCGGGAAGAACACCCGUGGCGAAGGCGGCCAACUGGACAGAUACUGACGCUGAGACUCGAAAGCGUGGGGAGCAAACAGG
rnacentral:rRNA from 1 species